CCCGCCCGUAAUCCAGCUCCAAUAGCGUAUAUUAAAGUUGUUGCAGUUAAAAAGCUCGUAGUUGAACCUUGGGUCUGGCUGGCCGGUCCGCCUCACCGCGAGUACUGGUCCGGCUGGACCUUUCCUUCUGGGGAACCUCAUGGCCUUCACUGGCUGUGGGGGGAACCAGGACUUUUACUGUGAAAAAAUUAGAGUGUUCAAAGCAGGCCUUUGCUCGAAUACAUUAGCAUGGAAUAAUAGAAUAGGACGUGCGGUUCUAUUUUGUUGGUUUCUAGGACCGCCGUAAUGAUUAAUAGGGAUAGUCGGGGGCGUCAGUAUUCAGCUGUCAGAGGUGAAAUUCUUGGAUUUGCUGAAGACUAACUACUGCGAAAGCAUUCGCCAAGGAUGUUUUCAUUAAUCAGGGAACGAAAGUUAGGGGAUCGAAGACGAUCAGAUACCGUCGUAGUCUUAACCAUAAACUAUGCCGACUAGGGAUCGGGCGGUGUUUCUAUGAUGACCCGCUCGGCACCUUACGAGAAAUCAAAGUUUUUGGGUUCUGGGGGGAGUAUGGUCGCAAGGCUGAAACUUAAAGAAAUUGACGGAAGGGCACCACAAGGCGUGGAGCCUGCGGCUUAAUUUGACUCAACACGGGGAAACUCACCAGGUCCAGACAAAAUAAGGAUUGACAGAUUGAGAGCUCUUUCUUGAUCUUUUGGAUGGUGGUGCAUGGCCGUUCUUAGUUGGUGGAGUGAUUUGUCUGCUUAAUUGCGAUAACGAACGAGACCUCGGCCCUUAAAUAGCCCGGUCCGCGUUUGCGGGCCGCUGGCUUCUUAGGGGGACUAUCGGCUCAAGCCGAUGGAAGUGCGCGGAAUAACAGCGAGGGCCCCCCCCAAAAAAAA
rnacentral:rRNA from 1 species